ACCUCCCAUGGCGCAAGCAGCAGCCGGGUGCGCUCAUUCCUGUGGGAGGAACCACGACUGGCUCCAGAUCCCUGUCCCCUCAUCAGAGCCAGCUCCACCCACCACCAGGGCUUCGGGAGGACAGCCACCUCCCGCCAGACGGCAUUUCUCCCAGCCUCACAGCUGAGUGCAGUCGUGUGAUGACACUGGCCAGUGGGACAUGGGUUAGGGUUAGGCCACACCCCCAUGCCCCUUUCCCUGUGGACCUUCCUCCCAGGGGAUGAUGCAGCAACCAGAUGGAAGCAGCCAGGUGACCUUGAGAAACAAAGCCACCUACACCCCCAGCCCACUGACUUACUUUGGGGCUGUUACAGGAGAGAAAACAUUCCCGAUUGAGCCAGACUUGGGGGUACCUGUCCCAGCAACCUAGCCUGCACCCCCAUAAAUCUGUCCCCUGAUGGUGUUUGCAAGGUGAGGUCUGCAGGAUCCCGGCCCCCAGAGACGCCACAUCCUCAUCCCGGAACCCUCGAGCAUCAGGUUACGUGGUGCUGUGGUCCAGGGGCUGUUGAAGACUCUGGUGUCCUCUCUCGCCAUGUGAUCUCUGCACACGCCAGCUCUCCCUCCGCCUUCCGCCCUGAGCGGGAGCAGCCUGAGGCCCUCACCAGACGUAGCUGCACAAUCGUGAACUUUUCCGACGGGUGUCGUGAGCCAGAUAAACCUCUUUUCUUUAUAGUAAUUCCCAGGCUCAGGUGUUAUGACAGCAAACAAAACCCACUCAGACACACAGAAAGGGGGAAGUUAAGGCCGCUAAGUAGCAGGUCUUACGACAGGGAGGUCACACCGGGUUAUUCUAGUGGCAAAGACAGACGCAGAUUCUCCCUGCAGGGUCCACAGCCCUGCUGACGCCCUGUCUGCAGCCUGGUGAGACCACGCCAGGCUUCUGACUCCAGAACCAUAAUAAAUCUGGGCUGUUUUAAGCCACUAAGUUUAUAAUAAUUUGUUACAGCACCCAUAGGAAAUGAAUACCAGAAACUAAUAGGUCCUUUCCCAAAUACUCAGAUCCUCAGAUGCCCCUUGCAGGGAGAGUGGCCAUGCGUCCCAUGCUGGCCGGCGAGGCACAGCACAAGUGAGCUGGUGGUUUUCCAGAAAAGUCAGCAUCUUGCUGACAAAAAGGGACCCCAGGGGUGAGGUACAGGCUUCUGCCUUUUACUCAGCGCUCCUGUCACCGCCGCCUCCUUCCUGCCUGGAGGUGGGGCAGCCACCUACUGAGGACGGCAGGAGACAGGACCUGGGGACAGCUGCAUCGUGGAGUCACUGCCCAGCCCUGGAGAACAGCUUCUGACUUCCAGUGACAUGAGGACCGUGAGCCCUGCCGGGCCAAGCCUGCCCUCUGUGGCCUGCAGCGAGACACAACCCCAGCGACACACAGCUCUUAUGACGCCAAGAAAGGAGCUGACGUCCAGAAACCCAGCGGGCUCUGGGCCAUGGCCAGCCCGGGGUGCUGGUUUUGCACAGAGCAGCGCUCCCUGGCCAGCAGUCACAAGGGACUGGCUAAUACCAGGGCCCAAGAAACGCCCCCCAGAUUUGGGCUGCACAACUCCAGGACAGAGGCAUGGCUGGCUCAUCAGCACAGCCAAGCCUCUCGCACGCAGAGGCAGUCACCCUCCUCAGAGAACACGCAAGCACACGGCAUGUGCAUUGAUGGGUGUACACGUACAUGUUUAUUUAUUGCAUAAAAUUCCUCAUAGCACUUCCUGCUAUACUUUUACAAUCCAGAAGGAAAGGGACUCCAAAAAGUAUAUUUCACUGUGCUCAGUUUAAAAAAAUACAAAAACGAACAUCAGGAUUACCGACCCAUGCUCAAGGUAUGUGCAUGCUGCCAUUCCUCCCUUGGCCAGGCAGCUCCGUCUCUGC